UGAUAAUGUCAUUAGAAAAAUUUAACCAAAAACAAAAUUUUUUAUUGACGUCAUUAAGGUUACCAGAAUCAUUUAAAGACAAUAUUCAUCUCUUACCUAUAUGGCUUAUUGGAUCUAAAGACGGGUCAUCAAAGAUUUCCUAAACUAAAGCAAAAUAUACUGAAUAUUCAAAUAUCUCUCUGUUACCAAAUUAUAAACAAAUAAGUUCGUAAAACAAUUUAAUAUUUUAUAUACGAAAUCAAUUAAAUCUUAAUCACAUAAAAAUUAGCACAAAAAAGUAUUUAACAAUUAAAAAAUUAUAUAAUCUCUGUGUUAUAUAAGUUUUGAUAUUAUAUUCGAAUAAAGUGUAAUAUACCUUUUCAAUUUGUAUUCUUUAAAUAAUUUAAGCUAACUAAUAUAUUUGCUAAUCUUAUACUAUCAAAACCGACUAUUGUUUCUUAUCUCUAUAAUAUUUUUACAAGACUUUUUUGGUAGAUUUAGGUAAAAGUGCAUUCAGGUCAUAUGGUACAUUCCCCUAUUAAAUAAAUAUGGUGCACUCCUAUGUUAUUAGCUAAAAUGUUUAUAUUAUAAUUCAGAGUCAUAUCAUAAAUAAAAUUAAUAUUAAUAAAAUAAAUGGCUGUUUGGCAAGACGGAUUUGGAGGGACGGGUUUUUGAAUCAACAUUAAUAAAAAAGUAAAAUAUAAUUAAUCCACCGUUUCAAUACGGAAUAAAUCUUUAAUUUAUUAUUUUUUAGACCACUAAUAUUAAAUAUAUCAAAUCAUCCUAAUUUAGAAAAGAUUAUAUAAAACCAAAAAUGUUAUGUGGUAUGUAUAAUGUUACUAUAUAUAAAAUUAAACUAUAAAAUAUAAAUGUAUUAGAGAAUGAUACAAUUUGCAAAACUUUUAUAUAUAAUAAAUAAUUCUUCAAUUUUAAAAACUACUACUUUAAAAAAAAUCACGGGACGGGUAAAAAAAUUACAGAACAGGUUUUAUUUUGGAAUUGGGUUAUAUGGUAGAUGUAUUUGAAUAAAUAUUUAUAAAAUU
rnacentral:sRNA from 1 species